rnacentral:rRNA from 1 species
GUGGGGAAUAUUGGACAAUGGGGGAAACCCUGAUCCAGCAAUGCCGCGUGAGUGAUGAAGGCCUUCGGGUUGUAAAGCUCUUUUAUCAGGGAAGAUGAUGACGGUACCUGAUGAAUAAGCUCCGGCUAACUUCGUGCCAGCAGCCGCGGUAAUACGAAGGGAGCUAGCGUUGUUCGGAAUUACUGGGCGUAAAGGGCGCGUAGGCGGCCUUGUAAGUUAGAUGUGAAAGCCCCGGGCUUAACCUGGGAACUGCAUUUAAGACUGCAAAGCUAGAGGACGAGAGAGGAAAGUGGAAUUAUGAGUGUAGAGGUGAAAUUCGUAGAUAUUCAUAAGAACACCAGUGGCGAAGGCGACUUUCUGGCUCGUAUCUGACGCUAAGGCGCGAAAGCGUGGGGAGCAAACAGGAUUAGAAACCCCUGUAGUCC